CUGCCCAUCCCGAGGCACAGCCGAACGUCUUUCCAGGGCACCUGCCAGCCACGCCUGGUCAGCCUGUGUACCUGGUGGGCUUCUGGCAGGCCCCGGGACUAGUGACGCCUCCGAGGGGCGAGUCAGGGCCAGGAGCUGCACAGCUCAGUGUCAUCUAAGGAGGAACAAUUCGGGGCCAACACACGUCUGUCCGGGGCUGAGCCGCUACGCCGAUGAGGAAGUGGUUACAGUUUACUCAGAUGUUCCUGAAGGCUGGCAGCUAGACUUCUGCCCAAAGGCCCGAGUGCUUGGCGACGAUGAGAAGCGGGCACCGAGCACAGGAUAAACGGUCCCUUCUUCCACCUGGACCCCGGGCUCCGGUCCCGCGCGGCCUUCGUCUCUGGACUCGUCGGAGUCCCUGGGAAGGGACUCCUGGGGACAAGCGUCUCUCCCAGCCCGCAGGAGAACCCCGUGCCGCGUGGUGCUGAGGCGCCUGGCACUUGGGGCGCGGGGACACCCGGAAAAUGGGAGAGUAACACCACCAGCCGGUCCGAGCCGACGAACAUUUGGGGGCUGUGUCAGCGCUGCUGUGGACAAAGUGGACAAUCGUGCACGAAUCUUAGUGUACGUAGAAGUUUCCAGUCCCCUCGCUCACCACCUAGCGGCGGCAUGGAGGACGCACGCGGGGGGCAUGUAUCCGAGUUCAUGAGGGACAAGACGGCUUUCCCGAGUGGCCGUGCCAGCCUGCAUUCCCGCCCGCAGCGCGGGAGCUGGUGUCUUGGUGUGUCAGUAAAAAUACCUGCCAACCUCGUACAGCAUGUGAACUGUUGUGGACGACAUCGCAGAACGCCUCCUCCGCUGGAAAGCCCCAGAGACACGGGGGGCUGGGGGCAGAGAGCGGGAGCGCAGAGAAAAUGCCCCUUGCCCAAAGGCGUGGCGGGGUCCGGGCACAGGCCUCCAGGGAGAUGGACCCCACUCUGGACCCCCAUCCGACUCCCGUGGGGCUCCUGAUGGACACACGAGGCCCUGGAAACGCCGAGCGAGGCCCCUCGCUGAGGACUCUGACCUCCGGCCGGUGGGGACAGGCCGGCUGGGGGGUUUCUGGCUUCCUCGUUUAUGGACGCAGGCUCCGGGCUCUGUCUAGGCCGAGGCUUAUGUUGGCCGACACGGACUCCUGCUCCACCGCGGGUAAGGCCCGCGCUAUCCUUUCCCCUCCCUGGGUCCCGGCUUGCUCAUCUGUAAAAUGGGGCAGCCGCCUCUUACUCUCAGCAGGACCAAACGAUGAAGGAAGUCAGGCCUCCUGCUCCCGCCCACCCCGCCCUGCAGUCCCUGCACUCAGCCAGACCUGCUCCUGGCCCUCCCUCCCUCCUUCCAGGAAGCCGGAAGGGCAGCCAAACCCACAGAGGAGUUCGCAGCCUCUGGCUCGGCUCGGCCCUGUGGAACCAACAGCCCUUUGUCUCCUCCUGGGGACCUUUCCAGAGAGGACUCAGCCCUUUGCCCCAAGGCCACCUCCGCCCCCUCCCCUGGCAUCACAGUAGCCCUACGGGGAGUCUCUCCGGGCCUCUCCAGGCUGCCCCUCACCCCUGCAACCUCCCUCAGCGGGCAG